GGUUGGAAUUGGAGGUUAAAUCACCAAAUGAUUGGCCACCACUGCUGCUCACUGCUCCCCUGUGGGGAUGGCUCAAAUGCAGAGGAUAAUUUCACCCCACCUAGUGUGACAAUCAUUGGCACUUUAAUUUGCGUGUGAGGUGUGACUUAUACUCCAGAGCGACUUAUACUCCGAAAAUUACGACUUUACCGUUGCUGUUGUUGUCGGGCGCGUCCACAUCUUCGACCACGUGACUCUAAAGUCUCCUCCACCUGUGGACAAGAAGCGCCUCCUGUAACUGCCAAUCAAAACCGUGCGCGGAGGUCACGUGACGUGUGCUCACCGGUUCUAGCCUUUGUCUCUCGGUGGCCAUGUCCAGCUGGAUGGUGUGGAAAGGCGUGACCACCUCGCCCAUUGUCAGCCUGACCGGCUCCUUCCCAAACACCAGCGUGUUUCCGUCAGCCUCCUUGAAGCCUGGCGGCUGAUAGUCCUGAGGCGUCACUGAGGCCUUCUCUGGAAAAAGUCCUCUUAGGUAUGUGAUGCCAGACACGGCAAUGGCCAGAAGUUUCUUGAUGACAGCGAUGGACUGCAGCUCCGACACAACCUGAUUGGGCAACAGCUGAGUGUCCUGGAGAAGAACACAAACACAUCACAAACAAUGAACACGAACACAAUGUACGUAUGUCUAAAACAUAAAGAAUUAUACUUAUAAUGCUCCUUUGUGUAUGUCUUUCAACCCAUCUUAAAUGUGCAAUUGCUGGGUUGCAAUCAUGCGACCUACAGGCUCUUCCAGGUCUAGGCAAUGGCCUAGAGCAGUAGUUCUCAAAUGGGGGUACGCGUACCCCUGGGGGUACUUGAAGGUAUGCCAAGGGGUACGUGAGAUUUUUUUUAAAUAUUCUAAAAAUAGCAACAAUUAAAAAAUCCUUUAUAAAUAUAUUUAUUGAAUAAUACUUAAACAAAAUAUGAAUGUAAGUUCAUAAACUGUAUACAAAAAAACAAAACAAUGCACUAUUCAGUAUUGACAGACAGAUUUUUUGUGGAUGUGUUCCAUAAAUAUUGAUGUUAGAGAUUUAUUAUUUUGAGAAGAAAUGUUUAGAAUUAAGUUGAUGAAUCCAGAUGGAUCUCUAUUACAAUCCCCAGAGAGGGCACUUUAAGUUGAUGAUUACUUCUAUGUGUAGAAAUAUUUAUUUAUAAUUGAAUCACUUGUUUAUUUUCCAACAAGUUUUUAGUUAUUUUUACAUCUUUUUUUUCCCAAAUAGUUCAAG